AAUCAACUCUGCUUCUGGAAAAGGGAUUGUGGUACAUUUCGGAUGUUCGUGAGUUUCACUGUAAUUGUGUGUGAAUAGUAAGCAUGGGUUGCAAAGGCCACCUGACUGUUGCUAAGUGUUCUGCUCGUCCAAUGUGUACUAUUGAUUGCCUCAAACGGGUUGCGCUUAUCGUCCCUCGGCAUGACUGAUACAUGUGAUGUGAUUUUACGUUUAGGGGUGUCGUAGGCCACCACAUCUGCCAUUAUUCUGGUUUGGGAAUUUUUAUCGUAAUAUGGAGAAAAUGAGGUGAAUGGAGGAUGAGCUAAGUUCGUUAACACAAAUGUAAAUCAGCAUCGAUGAUGUUCAAUAUCUAAGCAGAAACCACAUCGACAUACUGCCAUACUGCCCAGCCGACAUUAGGAACUUCCACCGAGACUUCCUAGGUUGGUGGAUCGACUUCUACAAUUCCAACUAUAUGCGGAGACAGCAGCGGACAGCAUACACGACGCACUGUUAUCUGCCACUACACCCUCUGAUGUUCAGCUCGUCUUCUACUUUGAAACAGGAACUGCUACACAUACAUGGAACAUUAAAAUAACAAUGCUUCCGUGCAGUGCCUUCUACCUGAGUAACCGUCAUUCACGUGAAAUUAGCAUAGCUAACACACCUAACAUGAAUUGCAUCUGUUACCUCAAUUGUAUUCCUGAGUUCCUGCUAUUUGCCUCUUCGCUCCGGCAAAGCUCCGACAAAGUUAAAUCAUUUAACUUGCAAGACAUCACCACCACUGCCAUCCGCCAACUCAACAAACAAAACUACAAUAUUUGCUUUAAGACUGAACUGCAGUACAGGACAGUACAAAUAAAUUUUGCCAAUCAAUUCCUA